rnacentral:lncRNA from 1 species
CUCUGUUGAAUGAAUGGGUGGUCGUCAGUCCCGGCUUUAAGAGGUUUCUAAUUGAUGGAAUGAAGCAAGGAGACCUUGGGAGAUCAGCGUGCUGUGUCCGCCUAGGCUCUGACGGCUAGAUCUACUGGCUCUCUGGAUGUGUUUGGAAGACAGUUUUUAUUUUAAAGGUUGCUGACUGGAACAGUGAUAUUUUCGAGUGCCCCAUAAA